rnacentral:rRNA from 1 species
CAAUAGCAUAUAUUAACGUUGUUGCAGUUGAAAAGCUCGUAGUUGAACUUUUGGUAGGAGCGACCUGGCCUUGGGCGCAUGCCCUUGUUUGCCGUGUGUCGUAUCUGGCCAUCCUUUUCUUCUUUUUGGAAGGAAUCUUUUACUGUGAGUAAACUGGAGUGCUCAAAACAAGACGUUUGUUUGGUACAUUAAAGCAUGGAAUAAUAAGAUAGGACCUGGUUACUAUUUUGUUGGUUUGCAUAGCUAGGUAAUGAUUAACAGGGACAGUUGGGGGUAUUCGUAUUUAAUUGUCAGAGGUGAAAUUCUUGGAUUUAUGAAAGACGAACGACUGCGAAAGCAUUUACCAAGGAUGUUUUCAUUGA